GUAAUGCGCCUGCAGGGCCCGGGUCAAGGGCAGGACGUGGCUUGUGCCCUCACGUGUUCCUGGUCAGGUGGGCGGUGGAUUGCAACAUGAGAGCCAUCCCCAGCCUAAGGUGCCCUCCCAGAGUCCUGGGUGAGCAGAGGCUAGUGCUCCCUUCUGGGACGUGCUGCCACUGAGGAAGGAAGACCAGGGGAAGCUCCGCGGUCCUCAAUCCAUCCACCUCUUAGGUGUGCUGACCUGUGCUGGGUGCUUGGGGGAGGGGGGAUGCUUCGCCUCCUGAUAACGGAGGACCAAGGAUAAAUGGUCAGGAGCUCUGCACAGCGGGGACCAUGACCUCCAUUUUACAGGGCCCGGGAGCACCGCUCAGGGCUCGGCUCUCAGAGGGGCCCCAACCCUCCUCUCCAUGUUGCUUCUCCGGCUGGGACGAAGGCAGCUUCCCAGGAGACCCAUCCUCAGCCAGGCCUUCUUGACUGCAGGCUCCUCUGCUCUGGACGCCAGCUCCCGUGGAAAGCCUGCUGCGAGCCAGGUCCCCACUCCCCACGCACUGUCCCCAUUCAACCUCCCAACAACCCAGCGAGGCGCGCAUGGCUCACGACGCUCCCUAUGGGCCUGACCCAAAAGGCCUCGGGCACAGCUCUGAGCCUUUCUCCAGUCCGAGAGGCCCGGGUCUCCCGAGACUCCAGAUCUGUGUGCAGCCGGAGGCAGACCAGGCGGGGUCUCUGGCCUGCUCAGUGCCCAUGGCCCCAGGCUCCCUUCAACAGAGGACUUUGUUUCUUUCCCUGUGGCCCGUAGGAUGCGGGAAGAGGUCAGUAGAAGGGAGACAGAGUCAGAGGGGUGUGGAUGUCCACCCCUGCCCACCCCCAGGGCCCCUCUGUGCCACAGGAGGCCCCCUGCUGCAGGAGCUGGGAGUGGGGCUGGGGCCAAGUGGGCAGGGCCCCGCUGGGCCCGCGGGAGGGUGGAGAGGGCCCUGGGGAAGGGAGUUACCAGCAGCCUGCUCUGCGGAGACCCCGGGAGGCCCUCCUCCGUUCCGGUAAUGACAGAACGGGGUGGGAUGCCAGCUUCUGCCUCCAGGGCCCAGGCCCUCCCCUCGGCUGUCUCCCACCUGCUCCCCCACACUCCCUCCUGCCCCACCGCGCCCCUCCCCUCCCUGGAAGGUGCAGAGCUGGGGCUUGCACACCCAGACAGGCGCGGCAGGGCCACUCUCCGUGAUGACUUGAGCCGGUGGAGGUCCCUGCCCAGCCCAUUGACAAGACCUUGGGACCGGCCGAGUGACCUUCAUCUGGAAGUCAGCUGCCUCCACGUUAGUACUUCGUGUCGAGCAAAGGGCAAACGUAUCUUAGUCCUAGCCUGACCUCCAGGACCCCGUAAGUCUACUUUAACAUAUAAAAAUUCCUUUGGAAACUUCCUUUAUCUCUGCUGCCUGAGAUACCCGUUGGCCAUCACCCCGGGCAUAUGACCCGCCGAUAUACAUCUGAAGUCUCAUGACUCAGGUUUGGCUAGACGGUAGUAAAUGACCUUUUCCCAACACCAGCCGGCCCCUCCAGGUCCUGCAAACCUGCUUCCAGAAUUCCUCAGAGACUCACGCUCUCCCUAACCGCCUCCCCAACUAGAGAACACGUCAUAGGUCACCGCUCCUGACCCCAGCACAGCUCUUUUCUGUCCACGGGUCCUGUCUCCGUGCUUUAAUAGAAUCACCUUUUUGUCCUGACGACAUCUCAAGAAUUCGUUCUUGGCCGUUGGCUUCGAACCCUCACAUCUCUCCUACACACAAGCACUAAUCGUCCGGUGGCCGGGGCCGGGGGUCUCCCAGGGAGACGGACAGGGAUCCCCUCGGCGCUCCCUGGGACCCCGCGCUCCUCCACUCUGCAGCUGGCAGACGGGGCCAGGGCUGGGCUCGCCCCCAACCGACGCUUCCUCCCCAGCCUCCGUCCCCCACUCAUCUCCCUCCCAUGGAGGCCCUUGGGCAGGCUCCCAGGGCCGAUGGGGUGGCCCCCUCUUUUCCCAGGAAGAGGAAGGAAGGCCGAGAAUCUGGGAGCCAAGCCUCCAUCCCCACUCUUUCUAUGGCCAGAAGCUGCACCCUGUGACCUGGCCUCCUGGACACCAGCCAUCUGGGGGGGACAGUGGAGAUGGUCCCCAAGGAGGACCCCUCGUCUGGGGGGAGAACAUCUGCCCUCUUUAGGGGUCCGAGGGCCAAUGUCUGCCGUGCCCUGCAGCUCCCUGCGGCCGAGGGGAGGGGCCAGGCUCUCCUGCUUCCCCUGAGGCUCCAUUGUGGUCCUUUGCUCUCUGGCCGGCACAGCAGGCCUUGCCCAGCCCCAGGGGCAGGCUGUUCCAAGGACCCUCACCUUGGCCCUAGAACCCCACCCCCUACUACCUGGGCUAGAGAAAAGGCCUUCUGAGAGUAGGGAGUGGGGGCUGGGCUGGAAACUGCUGCCUUUCAGCUCCCAGGGGGAGGGCUAUGCCAGCCAUGAUGCUAACAUGUGUUGAUGAGCCCCCCACCCCCAGCCAGUCACCCCCACUCCAGCUGAGAUGCCUGCUAGUGGAGCCCCGUGGCCAGGAGGCAGGCUGCCAAGGCAGGAGGUUGGUCUCCGGCCGGCAGGGCCUGCUGCGGGGAGGGGCGCCAGUGGCUUUUAGAGCAUUUCACCCUGGUAAGAGGACAAGGAGCAGGCAAAGGCGUGAAGGGGCCAACGGUGGUGGUCCCGCACUCCCCAACAAACAGCGAGGUCACGCGCCAUGUCCAGAGGUCACUGACCUAAAGCAGACCGGUUCCUUCGUUGAUCUGGCAACUGUGUGCCUGGGGUCCGUUGAGAGCGGGCGCUGCUCUGGGGAGACGCACCCCUGCCAGAGAGGCGAGGCUGAGAGUGAGGUCGAAGGACUAAGGAGAGCUGGUUUGGGGGACCGAGGCGAGGGACAGGUGGCUGACGGAAUUCCAGACCUGGUUAAGGCAGGCUCCUCGUGGAGGUGAUUGGGCCACGCAGUGAGGGGUGAGCCACGGAAAACAAACGUGGGGGGACCACGGCCCUGGGGGGGACGCUGCUCUGGGUGUGUGCUCUGGGCACUGCCAGGGGGCCCGAGACUCCGGGCAGCAAGGUGGGAGGCAGGCGGGGAGGACCUCGUGGGAACCUUGUGGUCACCCGAGCCGUGGGCAGGGUGGAGGACCCCUGGGUGGGCGAUGCAGGGGCCCCGGGGAGAGUCCCGAGGUGCUGGGAAGUGGCCGCCUCUGGGUGCCUUUUGAAAAUACUAUUAUAUUUCCACCUUAUUUGCAUUAAGAAAAAACAAAAAGCAGAAACAAUGGUCUGUGUGUCCUGUGCUGGUAGGGGCCCGGGGGCCUGUGGGUGCACCUGAGACGGGAAGUGGGUAGGGCAAGAGGCCCCAGGGGACACAGGGCGUCUCCGAGGUGCUCCGCAGAGCCCAGCGGUCUCCUUCAGCGCCGUGGUCCAGGUGCCACCGGGGCACACCCCCAGCCAACAUGCAGAACUAAGCCAAACCCCAGUGAGGGGCAGUAAGAGGGAAGCAGGCUAUUUACGUAAACUGUCACUCCCUCAUCCGGGGAGGCCCCGGGGUGGGGGCAGGGAAUGAUGACUAUUCUAGGGGACCCCGGGCUCACCUCUCCUAACGUCCCCCUGUUGGAAGGGGAAGGAGCAAAACAGCCCCCUUGGAAGGUAGACUUUUUGCCGCAGCCAAAGUCAUUUGCUAACGAGGCUCGGCACGCGAGGCUGAUCCAAUCCAAAUGGUGCAACUUUUGUGUCUGUUUUUGUUUUUUUUGGAUUUUAUGUUUAAGUAAUCUCUAGCCUCAACAGGGGGCUCAAAUUUACAACCCCCGAGAUCAAGAGUCUCUGACCCAGCCAGCCAGGCGCCCCCGGAUGGCGCAACUUUUGAUCCCAAGCAAGCCCUUGCUCGAAGUCCUGGCGCUGACUUUCCCGGGGGCUCAGAGGCCAGCUCUCAGCCAGGCCUUCUGCAAAGCUUUUAAGGACUAGGGGUGCUCCCUCCUGAGUUAAUAGCUCUGCUGAGCUAAGAGAGGCACCAGCUGCGAACUUUCCAGGAGCUCCCCCUGCAGCGGAGGGGGGAGCGCCGGGCUCUGCCCAGCACCCAGAACCCUGUUUAGUUUUGUGACGGACAUCAGCUACUCAGCUCCCCUUUUGUGAGACAAGCGGAUCGGUGUGCCCCCCCCAUCCCUCCACAGUCCUGAGGCCUCGCUGAAAUGUAUAUGUAAAUCCUUACUACCGCCCUCAAAAAAAAAAAAAAAAAAAAAAACGAAAAAAACAAAACAAAUCUCGCUUUUCUCUUAUUCUUGAUCUUUGUACCUAAACAGUCAAUGCCAAGGCUUUGUUAACGGGUCUGAGCACCCCUCACCUGUCCUCAGUCCAAGCCUGGGGACUUGGUGGAACCCUACUGAGACCAAGAGCCAUCUCUCGCCCCCACCACCCCCUCGCAAAUGUUCCCCCAGAGUCCGGCAGUUGACUUGAAGACAUCACUUGUGGCGGGGGUGGGGGACUCAUCCUUCUUCUUCAGUGCCUCCCUGGGGAGGCUGCCAAGUUCAGUGAAAGAAACAACCGAAAGAAGGCAUCUCGUGAAAUUCCAAUUUCUUCAACGGGGAGUGUUGCUUCAGUGUAAGUAUAUCCGUGCGAUGGGUAGGGGCUACGUAAACUAACGACUAUUCCUUAUGGAUCGGAAAUUCACGUUUGCCUGCGCUCCUCGUGUUGUCUCUGACGACCCCUAGCCCCCUCUGCCCCAGAGCUUCUCUUGGCCUCAAAGCUGUAUUUUUUAUCAUCCUGUCUUUCCCAGAGCUGAAACGGCUGCUGCUUUUGGCAUUUUUGUAGCUUGAUAGUGACAGUGGGGAAAAAAGCUCCUGUCGGCCGGAUGAUUGAAAACUCA